AUCAGUCUUCGGGGCGAGGUGAAAUUCCUCACCGGCGGUAAAGCGGCAGUGAGCCGACAAGCCCGCGAGCGGAAACGCAGAUUUUGGUUGAAUUCCAAAGCCGACGGUAAAGUCCGGAUGGAAGAAGAAAAAC
rnacentral:ncRNA from 2 species